rfam:Canis lupus familiaris chromosome 12, whole genome shotgun sequence.
AGCUUUGCGCAGUGGCAGUAUCGUAGCCAACGAGGUUUAUCCAAGGUGCAAUUAUUGCUAAUUGAAAAUAGAAGUGCAAAUAUUUUUUGAACUAGUAUUUUUGUUUUCUUUGGGUAAAU